AUUGAACGCUGGCGGCAGGCUUAACACAUGCAAGUCGAGCGGGGAAGGUUGCUUCGGUAACUGACCUAGCGGCGGACGGGUGAGUAAUGCUUAGGAAUCUGCCAUUUAGUGGGGGACAACAUUCCGAAAGGAAUGCUAAUACCGCAUACGUCCUACGGGAGAAAGCAGGGGAUCUUCGGACCUUGCGCUAAAUGAUGAGCCUAAGUCGGAUUAGCUAGUUGGUGGGGUAAAGGCCUACCAAGGCGACGAUCUGUAGCGGGUCUGAGAGGAUGAUCCGCCACACUGGGACUGGGACACGGCCCAGACUCCUACGGGAGGCAGCAGUGGGGAAUAUUGGACAAUGGGCGGAAGCCUGAUCCAGCCAUGCCGCGUGUGUGAAGAAGGCCUUAUGGUUGUAAAGCACUUUAAGCGAGGAGGAGGCUACCUAGAUUAAUACUCUAGGAUAGUGGACGUUACUCGCAGAACAAGCACCGGCUAACUCUGUGCCAGCCGCCGCGGUAAUAC
rnacentral:rRNA from 1 species